UGGCUCAGUGGUUGAGAGCACAGGCUGCCCUUCCUGAGGGCCUGGGUUUGAUUCCCAG
rnacentral:tRNA from 1 species